CAGGCCCCGCCCCUCCCGACGCGGCCCCGCCCUGCUCUCCCUGCGCCUCACCCGCGCCCAACCGCGUUCUUGCCCGCUGGGUCCCCUGGGCUCCUCAGGUCCCUGACCGCGCAUCCUGGGUCCUCCACGCGCGCGACCGUCCUGCUCCUGAAGGGGCCUUCAGGGUGUCCGCGGGACGCAGCUCUUCCUCUCUGACCCCUCGGGCCUGUCCUGGGGGGCCGCCCUGGAAAUAGCUCGAAGGAAGGAGCCCCAGUGACUCAGGUGACAGUCUGGAAAUUCAGUGGCGUCAGCUCGCGUAUCCCCUACACGCCGCAUCUCGAGACUCAACCCCGCUGAGCUCUGGGGUCGUAGCUGCAGCUGCUUCGGGGCUCCAAGACCAGAGAGGAAGCAAAGGCAGAGCUUGGCAGCCAGGCAUCGCCGCUUUGGCCUUGCAGGAAUCGCUGCCCACUGAGCUUCUAUCCAAACCUCAGUGGAUUAUAAUCUAAGUUUGGCAAACACUGAGCAGGGAGGAGUCAUGCCUGCAGGGCCCCAAGGGUCCCUGAAUUUGGGUCCUGAUCACUCUGCGCCACCCAGUCGAGCAGGCAAAUGCUCUCAGCCCAUAAGGAAAAAGGGAAGGAAGGAAGAUGAUGAUGAGAAUCCAUGCCUAGUCCACGGCUUGGCCGGUCUCCGGAAGAGUGUGUUUCCUACAGCACUCGGUGCAGCAGGAGGCAGGAGAGAGAACUGAACAUCCAGCCAGCCUCCCACCGGAGCUCAGGCCACAGGCUUCAGGAUCCACUGCCAUCCUCACCAGCUUAGCUCCCUGCUGCAGGCUCAGUUAAGAAACCCUGGGAGGUGGGCUGCUCCAAGUGCAGGCUGCCCCCCAGGCAUGUGGAACACCAGCCCUGACUGCCAGGGCCAUCUGAGGUGGACUGACCAUCCCCUGGGCACUUUGAGGAAGUGUGGGCAUGGUGUGAGGAGUGGCCAUUCAUCAUCCUUUCCUGCAAGGCCUGGGCCAGGUUAGAGAUGAACCCCAGCAGUCUCAUACCCACCAAGGCCACUGGGAGCUUUCACGUAGUCACUGCCAGGAGUGGCUGCUGGCUGGGGAGAGGAUCCUGGAGUGCCGGUCAUUGGAGGCCCUCACAGGUGACCGGGAACGUGGUGGAGCAGCAGGAUACCUCUUCUCUGCCAUGCCCCAUGUUGGCAUUUGCUCUGGUGCCCCUGCAGCCACUUAUAGCUCGCCUGGUGAGGAUUGGGUAUUGCUGGCCCAAGGCCUGCUUCAAACCUAAAUAUCUGUGGGGUGGGCACAGUGAGGGGUGCACCCCAGAAAGCAGUCCUGGGAUCUACCUUUCCACCUUAGCCUUUCUUCCUGCUGGGGGGCCUUCCUCCCAUGAGUAUUGUCAGUUCUUAGCAAGUAGAAAUACAGGAUACCCAGUUAUAUUUGUAUUUCAAAUAAAGAUUUGAACAAGAGUUUAGUAUAAGCACAUCCCAAAUGUUGCAUGGGUGUUCUGCAUUUAUCUAGCAGCUGUACCUGCUAGACUUUGGGCUGUGUAGUUAGGUCUUUGGAAAUGACAUCUGCAUGGGCAGGGAGCUGAGGCUGCUGGCUGGGGUGAGCCAGGACUGGCCCCCAGGCUUCAGAGCCCGCAUGCAGAGAAUGGAUGUGGGGUUAGAAGGGGCCGGAAGAACCAGCCUCUGCAGGUGCAGAAGAGAGAAGCUGCAUACACUCCCAAGGCCCCGUGAGCCCUCAUGUGGGUGGGCUGUGGUCUCCCGGGGCCUGCUAGGAAAUCCCCCUCCACCUGAGCUCACUUAAGAAGGUCUCUGUUUUCCAAACCCUGUCCCCUGUAGCACCCGCCCUGCAGUAGUCACGAGGAACUCUCCCAUGAGGUGCAGAGGAUGCUCACUCAGUGACCCCUGGGCCACCCCACAUCACAGGGAUGGGGCUCUCUAAUGGUCCUAAGAGUACCUCAUUUCUGUCACAUCCCCACCCCUGGGCCCACAGGACAUGAGCUUAAAGGGAACUGAAAAGACUGGGCAUGAGAGGGAAGGGCCAGGAUAGAUGCAUCUUCAGUAGAAGGAAGGGGCUGUGUCUUCCUGCCCCCACACAGGGGCUGGGUAACUUGCUUUUUCCAUUAACAGGUUGGCCUUAGGGGAAAAGGGGGCCUCACCAAAGGAGGGCUCCUAGUGGAUCAGCCUAGCUUAGGAGAAUUCUGUGUUGGGCUUUGCAGCCAAAGACCAAUUAGUUAUUAGAAUUUUUCAUUUGUAAGUGUUUGAGGAUAUGGCUCAAGCUAGCUUAAACAGAAAGAGGAAAUUUAUUGGCUGUGGAAUGGGACAUAGCUUCAGGCACUGUUGGUUUUAGGAGAUCAAGUUGGAUCCAUAUUCUGUCUCUCUUACACACUCUGUAUCUCCACAAUUCUCUUCUGUUCCCCGCUUUUUAGGUUUCUUCCUCAGACCAGCUCUCCCAGCAGCAACCUGAUCAUCAACAGCUCCAAGGUCCCUGGCAGAUGACACUCCUGGAUCCCUCACAGUCCUCUCAUUCUUCCCUCCCACAGUGACCACCUAGGAUGUCUUGGGUGGAGACUGAGCCACUGCCUGCCACCAGGGUGACUGCUUCUCCAAGAGUUGCCCAGAUCUGAAGUGCACCUUGUGUGAUGGGAGACGCACCUUCGCUGUGCUCAGCCUUGAGGUUUGGUGCUGUCUGCUGCUGCAGCACAUGCUGGCCUCUCCUGACACCUCAGCAGUCCCUGGGCAAGCUGAGGCUCCACCGGCCCCAUGAUAGCUGAUCUGCUCCUUCUCUAGUCUCGGGAUCUGCGCCCUGCCCCUUCUCUAUCAAAUAUUCCUGGGCUGGCUGAUUGAAAUACUAAUAUGAGCUAAUAUCUUUU